UCAAGUUCUUAAAUUAGUCCUAUUCUGUUUUCGUCACUCAUUCUACAUUCGUCACAAUCGUCGAUGGCUUUCAAUGUAGAACGUGACGAAAGCAGAAUAGGACUAAUUUAAGAACUUGACGAAAAACUAAUGGCACGACUCAAGACGAUACCCUCAAAAAUGUAAUGUAAAAAAUCUUAAUUUUUUACUUACUUGAUGUAGGGAACGUGCUUUGGGGGCAGCUCACUGUUUAUUUGUGUCAAGUUUAACCCCUGGAGCGCCCCAGAAUUACCGUAGUAUGGAACUCCUAUACUAGUUACCAGCACACGUGUCUGUUUAGGGCGCUCCACGGGUUAAGUUUCCGAUUUAGGCCACUAGAUGCAGUGGCGUAUCGUGAACCAAUCUAGCUGUGGGCGAAGUCGCAUCUGAGAGGCCCUUUUCUUUCUAUGUGCCCCACCGAAGGGGCCUCACGCGAGACCCCUUGGGGCGCGAGGCCGUGGGCGAAGUAGAAUACGCGAACUGUAGAGGGCAGCACCGGCUUAGGCGUAAAAUGUCAAAGUUUGCGAUUUAGGCCGCAAGAUGGCCGACCCUAACUCGCACGAUCCCUACAUACAAGUGUGUUCUGUUACACUUUGACAAUUUGUCUGCAAUAUUAAACGUAAUUAUCUUCUUACUUAAGGCUGAUUUUCCAAUACUCCGUUUAACACUAUAGUUGAAUUUAGUGCUAUCCUUUUCUUUCAUAUGACAAAACAAAUAGAUAUAGGUAGAGAGGGGCAGAUAUUAUCUGAAGUUUAAAAAAACAGACUUGAUAAUUUGUCAUAAAUGUAUUUAUAGGUUGUCAUAUUAUUUGAUUUGACAGUUUUAUAGAAGUUAUCAAAAUGUUUAUUAUAUUAGGUAGAAGGAUUUUAAUAAAAUGCGAUAUUUCAUUUAUUGUCCAUAUUUAUGUUUUUUCGUGUGAUCUUGAUUUUGUUACAAAAUGUGCAGUUUUGAUGUUAUUAUAUACAGAUAAGCUUUCGUUGCAAUAAUGAUAAUUGGCAAAUUAUGUUUAAAAAUAACAUUAAUAAAAACAAAUUCACCAAUGGGCCAUUUUAUUUAAUGUUGUCUUCUACACUUUUUUUUUAAUUUGUGAAUUUUUAUGUUAUUUCUACUCAGAAUCACGACCUCUUUCUAUCCUAAUAGGAGAAAAAAAGUGUCCCAUGGUUUUUAUUUCCAUUCCGUUACCAUUUUUCAUAGACUUUUUAUGGCGGUCACGGAAUGGAAAGAUCGAAAAUUGUAUGGAAAUUUUGGGACACUUUUUUUGUCCUAUAGGAUCAAAAGAGCUCUGAUUCUGAGUAGAAAUAACAUAAAAAAAUCCAUAUUUGAAAAAAUGGCCCCAAUUCUUGUAGAUAAUUUCUGAUAGAAUUGAAUAAACACCGGCUUUAUUGAACCAGCCUGUAUAUUAAACAUUCAUAAAUAACUCUUUGAGCGUCAAGAACGCAUAUACAUGUUAUAGUGUACACUGUAAAUGAAACCUUAGUGCUUUCAAAUAAGGUUCACAUUAGUUCGCUUGCGGACAUGAUGUUGGCGUGUGAGUGACGUGCUAUUUUGCCAAUUAUCAUUCCUGCGACGCCCUUACGCUAACCUAACAGUUUUAAAUACUGCUUACAAAAAUAUGAUAAAUGCAUUCAGUACGUACUUUUAAAGGUAAAUAUGGGUCCAGUGCCUUCAAUGUGUAACUUUAUAAGGCGGUUUUCAGAAAAAAAUGGUACUAUUUACUUUUUUUCGAAAAACUAUCAACUUUUGGGUUAUUUAGACUCAGAAUCACGAGUACUAUUGAAAGAGACAAAGAAAAAAAGUGUCCCCAGUUUUUCAUACAAAUUUUGGGUGUCAGUUUUGUAACGAUCCAUACAAAAUGUAUGUGAAAAUACGUUACAAAACCGACAUUUUUUGGACACAUGUUUUUUGCCUCGUGAUACUGAGUGGAAAUAACCCAAAAGUUGAUGGAUUUUCGAAAAAAAGUAAAUGGUACACUUUUAAGUGAAAAUGCCUAUAAACACAAGUUUGCAUAGAUAAAUUGGUCGCUCCAAAUAGAUUAAUCAUUACUUAAAGAAUAGGAGGUAAAUUACUGUUUUUCCCACCACGGAACAAUGAUGUUCCGGACUUUGCGCGGAGCCGAAGCCAACACGUGGAGGCCCUUUUGACACUUAAUGAAAUGUAAGGGGUACAAAUUACUAUUAUUGGUAGUUUUAGGUAGGUAGGUGUAGUAUAACCCCCAUAUUCAUAAAACUUGCUAGCCUCUAUAUAUUGUAAAAAAACUACCCAAACGCAAAGAUAUUAAAAAAAAAAUUGUUAUCGGGUAAUAUGUACCUACUUUUUUUAUUGUAUGCCUUCACAAUUUAAAAUGGUUGAAUGUACCCAUACAUAUGUUACCUUUAAAAGCACCCGCUAUGAUGUUUAAUAUGGCAACGAAACCACUGCGCUACCGCGACCCGCUCACACACUUGUAUACAAUAUCAGUAUUAAAAAAAAAACAAGUCAAACUACUCGAUGUAUGUAUACACGUGAAGAAAAACAAAAUACUCUAUUUAGUUCCCAAAUAUUCCGAAAUCCAAGCACGACGUAAUAAAACUGAAAGUUAGCCCUGAGAUCUCGCUUCACUCGGUCGAUUAGGGAUCCCUUAUAUAAUGGUCAAGUGCGAGCGAAUCACGGACAGACGCGUGGUAACAUUAUUAAUAAAAUAAUAAUAAUUAAUAAUACUCAAGUUGUGAUGCUCGUGCAUUUAAUAAGACGUUUAAAUGCAGUCGUUUUAAUAAUAGAGAGUAAUAAAUAAAUUCAACAUAACAAUUAACCUAACAGUUUAUAUAAAUUAGUUUAAAGAAAAAUAUCUGGGAGACCGAGCUUUGCUCGGAAAACAUAUAAAAACUCGAAAACGCGCGUUUUCCCAGAGAUAAGACCUAGCUAGAUCGAUUUUUCGGCCCCGAAAACCCCCAUAUACCAAAUAUCAUCGAAAUCGUUAGAGCCGUUUCCCGAGAUCCCCGAAAUAUAAUGAAAAUUUAAAAACCCCGAUUUUUUUCUUUAAACUGAUUCACCUAUACAAAAUAAUAUUUGGAUACAUUAUUUCAAAGUCUAUCAAACUGAUUUUUUUGAAAAAAAUCUUUUCACAAAAAAAAUAUACCGAAAAUACUAUUUUUUAAAAAACUGCAUUUAGAAUUUUAAUCUUAUAUCAAUGAGUUUAAGGUACAAAUUUAAUAUUUAUCAAUCGGUCAGUGCAUUGCUACUAGUCUCACAACCGUUUGCACUCACAAGCAUAUUGCUAUCUCUAUCGAACUCUUUAAGUUAGAGUAGGACAGCAUGCAUAUGUUACUCGGAAUGGAGCAAGCUAAGUGAUGCCACGUUAUACAUUUUAGGCGACCACCAAGUACGGAGAAAUUCAUACGUUGAUUUAAGAGACAAGUAAAAUGAAGACUGUAAAUCGCCAUUUGCCUUCUACAUUUGUGACGUUUUCAACUAAGGCACAGAAUAAAUAAUAGUACUGCCGUACAGAAAGGAUACUUCCUACAAAACCGAAGUUUGACAGCGAUUCAGGGUCGAAUCAUGCUGUCUCUUUCUAAUAUAUGGCACUAUCCCUUUCGGCUAUUUAGGGUUGUCAAAAUUCAAGCCAUUAUCUUAUCUGUGGGCGUGCACGCAAAGGGACGUCAAGUUGUGUCAACCCUAAUAAUUGCUCGGAGCAAUGCUGAGCCGAGCGGAGCCGAGUUUGGCCGAAGUCAGGAGUUUCGCACCCCUGACUAAGGUACCAUAUUGUCGGUUGUCGAUAAGGUUGAUUUCAAAUUGAAGCUUUAUUGAAAUAGCUCCUUAUUGACAACCGACAAGUACCCUUUUGGUUAAGAAUGUCACAUUUGUUUUAUAUACGAUUGCCUAAUCUUUACGAAUUACACCUGGGGGCCUAGUCAAAAUGACAAUAGCACAUCGUCAAACGCUAAGCCUACCAUUUUUAGAAUAUAUUUAUCCAUAAAACAUUGGAACCUCGUACAUGUUGUCUAUUUUACUCAAACAGAAAUAUCAAAAUGACGGAUAGGCAUACAAUUAUGAUUAAUGCCAUUAAUAUUUGUGACUUAGGAUAAUUCAAUUUCUUGGUUCAAUGUGCAUUGCGUCUCAUUUUCUCAUUAAUCAAAAUGUGAGACGCAAUACACAUUGGACAAAGAAAUUGGAUAAGUAGAAUACCACCCUUAGUUAACUUCAUGUCGCCAAUGAUAAAUGUGUUCGGAGAUUACCAGUCUUUAAAUAUUACUUGUCUCUGCAAAGGGUCAAUGACCGAAACUCUCCAUACUCGGCGGACGAACUAUACUGCCACAUUAUAUUAUAUAUUAUACUUUGAAUCUAGCGAGAAACUUUAAAAUAAUACAUACAAACGUAUUCACAAUGAGUAGAGUAUUAGUUAUAUUCACAAUAUCAGUACUAUAAUAACAAUAGAGUUAGACCACAGUAAGUCUGCAACGAUUCUGACAGCACACGCAGUGCAAGUGUUAUUUAUACGUCAUAAUUUCAUAGAAGUUUGACGUUUAAAAACUUUGAAACAACACUUAAACUGCUGUGUGCUAUCAAAAUCGUUGCAGACUUAUCUUGGUCUAACUAUAAUAGCGCGACGCACUGUACCCCUCGUGUAAACCUUAUUCGAUACCGUGACGUGACGUACGCGUUUGCGUUAACCGUCAUUUUGUACGGGAUUUAGAGUUUCCAAAACGUCCCGCUUGGCGCGCUGCUCACAAUCCCAUACAAAAAUAGACACAACGCGAACGCACGUCACGCUGUCUAAUGAAAUUGACACUAGGGAUUCUGGUAAAAUGUCAGACCGACUGUAGGGACUGUCGAAAUUGUCAAAAUAGAUUAUUUGAGAUUCAUAAACUUAAUUUCAUCGAUCUAUAACAAGAGAUUUUGUAUUUUUGAUGAAACAGUUUCUUAAUAUGGAGUAAUAAUGCAAUGUUCUGCCGCCAGAGGCAGCACUAGCAGAAACCGUGAACCAUAGAGUAACUUAUAUAUACUAUGCCUUAACACAUUCAGUGCCGAAAACCCGACCAUCGGGUAUUUUAUGAUUUCGUUCCCAGGCCGGACGACCCGAUAGUCAUCAGCUUUAUAUGACGAAACUGUUAUGGCCUGGCGCAGAUGUCUUGUUUGGCUUGGUGGCAAUGAAUGUGUUGAACAGUUUUUUGGUAAGUUUAACAUUAAUUGUUACGAAUAAAUAUGACAUUGAUGCAUCGAGGCGGUUUGUUUACAGUAUGCGCUAGUGGCGCCCCCUACGCAGAGUUUUGCGUAAUAUUCCCUAUUCCCAUAUGGAGCGAAAAUAUAGCGUAGCGCUUUUCCGCAGUUAAAUUAUACCGUAAUUUUACAGAA